GUAGGGAAUUUUCGUCAAUGGAGGGAACUCUGAACGAGCAAUGCCGCGUGAGUGAAGAAGGUCUUCGGAUCGUAAAGCUCUGUUGUAAGAGAAAAACGAUGGAUAUAGGAAAUGAUGUCCAAGUGAUGGUAUCUUACCAGAAAGCCACGGCUAACUACGUGCCAGCAGCCGCGGUAAUACGUAGGUGGCAAGCGUUAUCCGGAAUGAUUGGGCGUAAAGGGUGCGUAGGUGGUGCAUUAAGUCUGAAGUAAAAGCCAGCAGCUCAACUGCUGUAAGCUUUGGAAACUGGUGUACUAGAGUGCAGGAGAGGGCGAUGGAAUUCCAUGUGUAGCGGUAAAAUGCGUAGAUAUAUGGAGGAACACCAGUGGCGAAGGCGGUCGCCUGGCCUGUAACUGACACUGAGGCACGAAAGCGUGGGGAGCAAAUAGGAUUAGAAACCCCAGUAGUCC
rnacentral:rRNA from 1 species